GGAAAGAUAUGAAAAUUCAAGCCGGACGCCAUUUUUGCUUCUCUUCGCGGCCGCCGCGCUCCAAGCUGGAGGAUGACGUGCCAUCUGGCUCCAAUGCCGCUCAUCCUGCCAGCGUUGCCAUACUGUCGCUCCCUCUGUGAAGGCACUGAUGGCACUGACCCACUGCCAGUCGGUGAUUCUGGUGAGUUCUGUUGUGUGCUCCAAUGGACGAACCUUCGACUUUUCAGUCAGUAGCUGUGCCCAGCUCCUUUGGACAUUCACACAAGUAUGCAAAUGAGCCCGGUGCAAGCGAUGUGGUAAAUGAUACGAGGCAAUGUGACAAUAAAAAUUAUGGGGUUUUACGUGCCAAAACCACUUUCUAAUUAUGAGGCACGCCGUAGUGGAGGACUCCGGAAAUUUCGACCACCUGGGGUUCUUUAAUGUGCACCUAAAUCUAAGUAAACAGGUUUUUUCGCGUUUUGCCCCCAUCGAAAUGCGGCCACCGUGGCCGGGAUUCAAUCCCGUGACCUCGUGCUCAGCAGCCCAACACCAUAGCCACUGAGCAACCACAGCGGGUAAUGUGAAAACGACAUCAUUAUGUUUCGUAAAAUGAGUCGUCAUUGGGAAGAUGUCCCAAUGCUUUCGCAUUCAUCCACGUAAAGAUACCCAAGUACCCCUGACUUUUGUCUUUUCUGCACAGUUAUGGCUCAGGAACAGUCAACUUUCACCAAGAAAAAAAUUGCGCUUAGAGCUGCACAAGAGGAUGCAGUGCACACCAUUCACAGCCACAGAAUGUUAAUGCAAAUAAAGCAGGAACCCACCUCCAAAAAGUAAAAGGCUCAAAUUGCCAAACAAACAAAUCUUGUUAAACAGCACAAGUCACCGGAAGAGAAACAUUUCUCACUGCUAGGCACUGUGAAAUGAAGAAAAUAAAGGGAAAAUGAGACAUCCACCCAAACGUAGCUAAUUGCUACAAAGAAAACCCACACGGGUUCUCCGAAAGAAAAGCCUCGCUGUUGAAAAAAAAUUCGUCCUAGUCCAGCACUCAAACCUGGGAGCACUAACUUUCUAAUUUUUCUUCUCUCCACCUUGGGGUUUCCGCAGAACUAUUACGUCAAACUCUUGCCUUUGCUUCAAGUUGUUGAUGAAUUUGACUUAGCCCUACCAUCUCCUAGCCGCCUGGUUAGCUCAAAUGGUAGAGCGGCUGCCCCGGAAAUGCGGUGGUCCCGUUUUCGAGUCCCGAACCAGGACGAAUUUUUCUUUAACUGCGAGGUUUUCUUUUGAGGAAUCCACACGAGGUUCCUUCGUAGCAAUUGCUACGUUUGGGUGGAUGUCUAAUUUUUCAUUUAUUAAUUACUUCUCUCCACCUUGCGGGUUCCCACAGAACUAUUAUGCCAAUUCUCGGCAAGCUUUUGUAGAUCAUUUGCCUUGUUUUAAUAAACAUUAAAAUAAAAAUUUGUGUUUAGCUGAUGCCAGUAAAACCAAUAUGUGCUUGUAUAUUUCCAAAGGAGGGGUGAUCUGUGAAGAGUCUUCUGUUUCUGCGCCCAUUUUAUGGGAUGCUUUGUCAUUUGUGGUCUGGUAAGCAUGUUUCUUUUAGUUUUUUUGACGAGGUUCCUAUAUGCGUUGCAUAAUGGUUGUGCUUUAGUAAGCCUCACCGCAAUACAGAAAUGUAUUCCAAUGAGACCAUUUUAAUUUUAUUUCACCAUCUUAUAUUUACAUGAUAGCCAAGGAGCUCCCGGUAAAAGCCUUCUCUCAAUAGCGUGACACAGUCAAGGUCACCUAUAGAACCUUGGCGGCAUUCAAGCGUGCAAAAAUAAAAAUGCCGGCAGACAGAGGCCUCAGCAGAGCAUCCGAGAUUAUAACCGGGGGAUCAAAGUUGGAACCACAAACCAGCCCACAUUUGUUUUACUGUUUUGGAGACGCCGCCAAAGUGUACUCAAUAAUGACACUUUGCUUACAGAUAGUAUUCGUCUAAAUUCUCACUUCACUGCAAUACACUGCAUAUGCUUGACCACAUAAAGCUGGAAAGCCAUCAUAAAAAAAACCUUAAAAAAUUCUUGUAUUUCUUUUUGUUUUCGUAACACACAAGCCUCCGUGCUUUAGUGGCAUUUCUUUCUUGUUCUACGUCAAUUGCAAUAAGAGGCCCAAAUACCCUGUUGUGGCCGCAGGCUUGUCUUAACGCUAGCGCAUCCUUUUGUUCCUUAAAUGUGAAUGCAACACCUCGAGUUUUUAAGUGGCAGCACAAUAUUUUGUUUGUAGGCUUAUAGAUGCACCACUGCUAACAUGCGUGCUUCUCGUUUCGCAUUGGAUGCACUCAGUUGCUCUGCAUAGCGCAGAAUAAUUUUGUACAAGUUCUGUGCAAAUAACCAAAGCGAGUGUAUGCCUGUAACGUUGGUGACCGUAGUGACAUUCUCAGAAAUAUGAAUUUCAUUUCUGCAUUUUGAAACUGUAACAAAGACUUACCAACUUACUGUCUCAUCAUUAAUGUUGCAGCCUGAACGCAUGGCUCCAUUGUCCUGCCAGGUUCUUCCUUUUCGUUGUGGCUGUGUUGACUUUCUUGCGUUGUUGAAAACGAAGCAAUGCGGCUUUCAGUAGCGAAUUGUAGCACAGAUAAACGCGUGCGCACAGUGUUUCUUGAAGCAUUCCAAGUUUCUUCAUGUACCUCGGAUUUACUGCAGUACAAGCGAUGUGUAGCCCUAUCAUCAAAUGGCCCCAGUGUCAACUGCUUCACCACGUCUAUGCAGUGUCAGAGCGCAAACGAAUGUGCGCAAUCUUGGUGGCAACGUCUGAAGUCGUGGCCCUGGGUGCUGCCAUGCUGGUGCAAGUGGCUUGCGUCGAGAACCAAGAGGCGUGCAGUGCUCAAGCCGCAGUGCUCUCUGAGAAGAUGCAGGGGACAGGAUUUUCUUAUAAAUUGCCUGGCUGCCUCGAGAUGGCGCUGUUAGUUGAGGGAUAUUAAGGAUUUCGGAAAUGAUGCUGCAAUUAUCCUAAUAGGUGACAUGAAUGCCCAUAUACAGAAUAUAGAUCGCUACACCGACAACAAUGGGAAGUCAAUGCUUGACCUUUGUGAGCAACAUAACCUCGUUAUCGUGAAUACAGGGCCCAAGUGUAAAGGGCAGAUCACGUGGGAAGUGGCAAACCAGCAAUCAACCAUUGAUUACUGUAUGAUGACAGAAGGAAUUCAUGAUAAGUUGAGAGAAAUGGUCAUUGAUGAGAAAAAGUAUAGCAGCAUAAGGAGAGACCAUAAACGCAUCAUUUUGAAAAUGGGAUAUGUAGUUGGGAAAGAGAGCAAGGAGUGCAAAAUGGCGUCCAAAUUUGAACGCUGAACAAAUAACAAAUAUAGUCACUAGAGUCAAGCAAGAACUUGUCAAAUGGCCAAGUGAAGAGUGGGAAUAUAGUGAGCUUCUAAGUGUAAUAACGACAGAAAUACGGAAAGAGAGACAACAUGUUCGUUGGAAAGGAAAAAAGAAACUGAAAAGCUGGUGGAAAAGGGAGAUACGAGAAGCGAUCGCCGAAAGACAGAAUGCAUCCCGAGAGCACAGGUAGGCAAAGAAGGCGCAGUUGCCACAGGAUGAAGUAGCCAGUAAAUGGGAAAUAUACCGGGAGAAAAAGUCUGGUACAAAUACUGGUGCAAGCAAGAUUAAAAGGUGAAAGUGACUGUUGGUUGUCACAAAUACGUGAGAAAAAGAAGGUCACACCUAGAAUAUUUUGGAACCACAUAAAAUUAUUAGGCAGGAAGUCAACAACAAUACAACAACAUAUCCUAGACGAAGAUGAAAACAGACUGGAAGGAGAAGCGGCAAUAAAUUAUAUCUGAAAAAUAACAGCCGAAUUUUUCAAAGGCAAUGACGAGGUUGUAUUUGAAGAAAAAAAGAACAUGAAAGAGACCCAGGUGGAGAAGGAGCUGGUGCUGUCAAAUUUCAACUGGAAGAAAGCCGAAGAGAAAAUUCCUCAGCGCACAGCCACAGGGCUAGACGAGGUUCCCGUUAGGCUGAUUAAUAAACUAGGACCAAAAAGUAAGAAAGCUCUGGUGAAAGCAGUGGAAAAAACUUUAAAAGAUAGACGAAUGCCAGACAGUUGACGACAAAGUAGAAUGAAAUUAAUUUAUAAAGGUAAGGGGGAGAAAGACAAUUCACUCGUAUAGACCGUUAACCAUUACAUCGGUAAUAUAAAGGCUAGCAAUGCAGGCAAUCAAGUUAAAGCUUCAAGCAUGGGCGGAGAAUAAUGGCAUUUUGGGAGAAUUUCGGAAUGGCUUCAGAAUAGGUAGGCGUUUGGGUGAUAACUUAUUUAUUCUUACUCAGUGUAUUGAAAUAGUAGAAAGCAGACCGUUAUAUGUGGCCUUUUUAGACAUUACAGGAGCCUAUGACAACGUAGACCGCAACAUUUUGUGGGAUAUUCUGGAAGGGGAAAGCUUAGGUGACGAUUGUCUACAGCUUUUGAAAGAGAUGUACCUAGAAAAUACCGUUUGCAUUGAAUGAGAAGGGAUGAGGAGCGAGGAGAAAGUUCAUAUCAACAAGGGACUGAGGCAGGGGUGCCCUUUAUCCCCGCUGCUAUUUAUGAUGUACAUGGUGAGGAUGGAGAGGAUGCUAGAAGGAAGUAAUAUCGGGUUUAAUCUCUCAUACAAACAGGCGGGUACACUAGUAGAGCAGCAGCUUCCAGGUUCAUUUUAUGCGGACGACAUUGUGUUGCUAGCUAACAAGCAAAGCGAUUUGCAACGUCUGGCUAAUAUCUGUGGACAGGAAGGCAAGAAUUUAGGUUUGAAAUUUAGUGUUAGAAAAUCAGGUGUUAUGGUAUUCAAUGAAAACAGUGAACAGACAGUGGCGAUACAGGGCCAGGAAAUACCUCGGGUAACAGAAUAUAAAUACCUUGGUACUGUAUAUGGAUAAAUGAAGGCAAUAGAUAUAUGGAAACACAGGAAAAAACAAUAACAGUGAAGGGGAAGAGAAAUGCAGCCAUAAUGAAGCACAGAGCGCUAUGGGGAUUCAACAGGUACGAGGUGCUCAGGGUUAUGUGGAAAGGUGUAAUGGUUCCAGGACUUACUUUUGCAAAUGAGACUGUUUUCUUGAAAUCAGGGGUACAAUCAGGACCCAAUGGCAACCAAAGGUCAGUGGGAUGCCUUGCAUUGAGCACUCACAGGAAGACUACAAUGAAGCUGUGCAGGGUGAUAUGGGCUGGACUAGUUUUGAAGUGAGGGAAGCUGGCAGUAAAAUUGAGUAUGAAGAAUGACUGAGGAAUAUGGAAGAAAGUAAACGGGCUGGGAGAGUGUUAAGGUAUCUGUACAGGAAAAACAUUGAUUCACCGUGCAGGAAAAUAACUAGGAAGCUUACCAGAAAGUAUGCAGCCUGUAGGGUGGGCAACACAGCAACAAAGAAUGUCAAGCGGAAAGUCAGAGAGGCUGAAAUAAUCUCAUGGGUGGCGGCAACGGAAAAGAAA